rnacentral:rRNA from 1 species
GGGAAUUGUUCGCAAUGGGCGCAAGCCUGACGACGCAACGCCGCGUGGAGGAUGAAGAUUUUCGGAUCGUAAACUCCUGUCGAAUGGGACAAACAGAUCUCGGGUGAACAAUCCGAGGUCCUGACGGUACCGUUAAAGGAAACCCCGGCUAACCCCGUGCCAGCAGCCGCGGUAAUACGGAGGGUGCUAGCGUUGUUCGGAAUCACUGGGCGUAAAGGGCGCGUAGGCGGCCCAGGCAGUCGGGUGUGAAAGCCCGGGGCUCAACCCCGGAACGGCACUCGAUACUCCUGGGCUCGAGGUCGGAAGAGGAGGGUGGAAUACCCAGUGUAGAGGUGAAAUUCGUAGAUAUUGGGUGGAACACCGGUGGCGAAAGCGGCUCUCUGGUCCGAACCUGACGCUGAGGCGCGAAAGCGUGGGGAGCAAA